GAUGAACGUUGGCGGUGUGCCUAAUACAUGCAAGUCGAACGGAGACUGUAGCAAUACUGUCUUAGUGGCGAACGGGUGAGUAACGCGUUGGUGAUCUGCCUCGAAGUGUGGAAUAACCUCCCGAAAGGGAAGCUAAUACCGCAUAGUCUCUCAAGGUUUAGAAAAUUGAGAGUAAAGGAUUUAUUCGCUUCGAGAGGAGCCUGCGUCCCAUCAGCUAGUUGGUAGGGUAACGGCCUACCAAGGCAAUGACGGGUAGGGGACCUGAGAGGGUGGCCCCCCACAAUGGAACUGAAACACGGUCCAUACACCUACGGGUGGCAGCAGUAGGGAAUAUUGCAAAUGGGCGAAAGCCUGAUGUAGCAACGCCGCGUGUGCGAUGAAGGUCUUCGGAUUGUAAAGCACUUUUUGGAGGGAUGAGGAAGGACAGUACCUCCAGAAUAAGCCUCGGCUAACUACGUG
rnacentral:rRNA from 1 species